GGCGAGAGACCGAUAGCGAACAAGUACCGUGAGGGAAAGAUGAAAAGAACUUUGAAAAGAGAGUAAAAUAGUGCGUGAAAUUGUUGAAAGGGAAACGAUUGAAGUCAGUCGUACCGACGGACAAUCAGCCUUUUGAGUGCGAUUCUGUGGGGCAUGAGGAGGAAACCCUCAUGUUUUGCAUAUUUGUGCUCUUUGGGCGUAUUUGUUCGUAUGGUGGGUUAACAUCAAUUUUGGUCGUCAUAAAA
rnacentral:rRNA from 1 species